AGAGCUAAAAGAGCCGAAGAUCUCACAAACACUGAACACUCCUCACUCACUUGGAGAACCAACUCUCAGGUUGAUGAUGCUGAUGAGCUUCAAAGGUUUUCCAGCUCUCUUGAUGACACGACACUCAUCCACCCGGUUCUCAAAAGAUGGAUGCUGGUAAUCUGGAACAAGUCGUCCAUGCUGAUAUAAAAGGACAAGUUCUUCAUCUUCCAGGUCAGUUCUGCUCCACUCUACAACUAUGACGAUGUGGGCUUGAGCUCGACAUGUCAGAGUGACGUCCUGUCCAGACACAGCGGUGAUGAUUUUGUGAUCUGAAAGAGGAAACAACACAGAGCAGAGAGGUUAAAGGUCAUUUUAUUCACUUCUACAACAGCCAGAGUGAAGAUCAUACACCACUGAGCCUUUCUACACACUUCUACAUACAUACACAAGCAAUAAACAUGCACAGAUAAACUGAAUCAAUAUUAAAUAAUUCUGCUUGUUUCUUUAUCUUGAUCUGUGAUUGAAAUGGCAUUUAGCUCCUGACAAGUAAAACUCACCUGCAGAGGUACAAAUUAAGAGGCUGACUAACAAUCAGUUUGUUCUAAAUGUCUGAGUCUGUCGGGAUUUUCAGUGAAUAACUGAACCUGAGUUUAAACCUAACUACUUGAGAUUAAAUUUAAGGUUUAAAUAAAGUCCACUUUCCAUAGAAAUUAUUCCAGGUUCAGAUUCUGUCAUGACUAGACUGUGUGCAGGGAUGAGUGAUGACAUGGAGGACCCAAAGUGCAGACACGUGUACUCAAAACAGCUUCAAUACUAAACUCAAAAAAGUAACAAAACUGUCACGGUCCCCGUGUCUCUCUGGUUGGCUCACGCUGGCUACAGGUUUUGUUGUUGUUCUUUUUUGUUUUCUUUGUCUCUCCUCCUCCUCUCUGCCUGGGUGGAGCUCGUUACGGGCUCUCGCUCUUGGCCCACGCACCUGUGUGAUUGUCUCCACCUGCUGCUGAUCUGGCUGAUUUCCCCAGCUGCUAUUUAAGGCAGUGGCACAGAGCAGCUCACCGCUGGAACGUUGAACCUCCUGAAUAUCCCUCUUCUGGACCAAAUCACGGGACCUGCCCGGGUGUGGCAGCGUGUGUGGAGUUUUGGAGCGAGUGCGGCUGAAGAGGAGUGCGUGUGUGCGGAGGAGCUGUGGCGGUGACUGUGUGGAAGAGGAAGCGUGUGUGUGGAUUCUCUCCCUGGAGCCCCCCCCUCCCAACUCACUGUACAUGUAUAUAGCACUGAGGUGAUCCCUGUUGUAAAUAAAUAAUCUCCUUUUGUUC